rnacentral:rRNA from 1 species
GUUCGAUUCCGGAGAGGGAGCCUGAGAAACGGCUACCACAUCUAAGGAAGGCAGCAGGCGCGCAAAUUACCCAAUCCUAAUACAGGGAGGUAGUGACAAGAAAUAACAAAACAGGACUUUUUGGUUUUGUAAUUGGAAUGAGUUAAGUAUAAACCCCUUUACAAGUAUCAAUUGGAGGGCAAGUCUGGUGCCAGCAGCCGCGGUAAUUCCAGCUCCAAUAGCGUAUAUUAAAGUUGUUGCAGUUAAAAAGCUCGUAGUUGGAUUUCUGUUAAUAAAUUAUAUAAUAUAUUUUGAUAGAUAUUUAUAUAAUAUUAACAUAAUUCAUAUUACUAUUUUUUUUUAGUAUAUGAAAUUUUACUUUGAGAAAAUUAGAGUGCUUAAAGCAGGCAUAUGCCUUGAAUACUCCAGCAUGGAAUAAUAUUUAAGAUUUUUAUCUUUCAAAUUGGUUCUAAGAUAAGAAUAAUGAUUAAUAGGGACAGUUGGGGGCAUUUGUAUUUAACAGUCAGAGGUGAAAUUCUUAGAUUUGUUA